rnacentral:rRNA from 1 species
UACAGAGGUCUCAAGCGUUGUUCGGAUUCAUUGGGCGUAAAGGGUGUGUAGGUGGCGCGCUAAGUCGGGUGUGAAAUUUCGGAGCUUAACUGCGAAACUGCAUUCGAUACUGGCGUGCUUGAGGACUGGAGAGGAGACUGGAAUUCAUGGUGUAGCAGUGAAAUGCGUAGAGAUCAUGAGGAAGACCAGUGGCGAAGGCGGGUCUCUGGACAGUUCCUGACACUGAGACACGAAGGCCAGGGGAGCAAACGGG